GUGGUGGUGUAUGCCUAUAGUCCCAGCUACUUGGGAGGCUGAGGUGGAAGGAUUGCUUGAGCCCAGGAAGGACAAGGCUGGUAUGAGCUGUGAUUGUCCUAUCAUGCUCCAGCCUGACUGAAAGUGAGAUCCUGU